UACGUAGGGGGCUAGCGUUGUCCGGAAUCAUUGGGCGUAAAGAGCGUGUAGGCGGUCCGGUAAGUCCGCUGUGAAAGUCGGGGGCUCAACCCUCGAAUGCCGGUGGAUACUGUCGGGCUAGAGUGCGGAAGAGGCGAGUGGAAUUCCUGGUGUAGCGGUGAAAUGCGCAGAUAUCAGGAAGAACACCCGUGGCGAAAGCGGCUCUCUGGAACGGUACUGACGCUGAGACGCGAAAGCGUGGGGAGCGAACAGG
rnacentral:rRNA from 1 species